CGCCAAUGAUGAGGACAGGGUCUGAGG
rnacentral:piRNA from 1 species